GACGAACGUUGGCGGCGUGCUUAAUACAUGCAAGUCAACUGAAGCAGUGGUAGCAAUAUCGCUGUGGAGGUGGCGCACGGGUGAGUAACACGUAGGUAAUCUGCCUUCAGGUCUGGCAUAACUCCGGGAAACCGGGGCUAAUAGCAGAUGAUGCAGCGGCUCGACAUCGAGACAGUUGUUAAAGCUAUGGCGCCUGAAGAUGAGCCUGCGUCUGAUUGGCUAGUUGGCGGGGUAACGGCCCACCAAGGCAACGAUCAGUAGCUGGUCUGAGAGGAUGAUCAGCCACACUGGAACUGAGACACGGUCCAGACUCCUACGGGAGGCAGCAGUAAGGAAUAUUGCUCAAUGGGAGAAAUCCUGAAGCAGCAACGCCGCGUGAGGGACGAAGGGCUUUUGCUUGUAAACCUCUGUAGUGAGAGAAAAAAAUCCCAAUCUUUGGGACAUGAUGGUAUCUCAAAAGUAAGCCCCGGCUAACUACGUG
rnacentral:rRNA from 1 species